CUUGCCCCAUAACGCUGCACCUGGGCACUGUCUGUGAGAGUGCUAGUUGUGGUGGGCCAAUGUGAAGGACAACUGUGCUAAGAGAGAAUCUGGAAGCUACUAGGGAAAGUUCUUACCUAGUUUGGAAAUGUCUUUGAAGAGCCUGAAGAUUGUUAAAAGCAGAUGGCACAGCUGUCUUGAGUAUAUUGAGGACGAGGAAAAGGAGCUCUCCUGAGAAGCAUAAGUUUGCCACAAAUAAGUUGGUUCUAAGCUGUGAUCCCCAAGUUCCCACAGGCAACAGCAAGUGAAAACCUGGAGGGGGCUGAUGAAGAAGCAGGAGGCAGAAGUGAGGGGACAAGUCAGAUUAGGAGAACAGCUGUUUGACCUUUUGAAAGAAACAGCUGUCACUUCCAGAAGCAUCCUGUUUUUCUGUCAAGUUUCAAGAAAAACAUUGAAUACAGGUACAGUGUCAUUUGGAGAAAUACAAAUAAGGAAUAAAGUGGAAUAAUUGAAUACUGAGCAUAUCCACUUGCAAACAUUUGUUAGCAAGUCGGUCAAUAAAAUGUUGUUCCACACACUUCCCUUUUGAAGAGCUUCUCAUUUUAUGUGUUAUAUGCUGUCUUGCAUGUUACAAAAAUGGGUGCAUACCUUUAACAUGAAGAUUCCUUCCCCAUUAAGUCCCUCAACAUUACACUUGAAAAUAAUUCCAGAUUCUAAGUCAUUUAUGAACUUCACAUAGUUAGCACUUUUGAGUGGAUUUUUUUUUUCAUUUCAACAUGGAUAACUUUUCAAAUUUGAUUGCUUGAUACUUGUGCUUGCUUUUCACCAGUUUAUUUAGUUCAGAAUGGUAUCUGUCUGACUUGAGGAUAUUUGAAUAUCGAGAGAAUAUAUGCAAAUGCUGCAUAUGAUGUGAAAUUUGCAGGCAUGUGCUAUGUUGUAAAUCCUUCCUUAUGUAGCACUAGACACUUGAAAUGUGCAAGGAAGAGUCCCAUUUCACAUACUGUGUUACUUCUCAGUAUCUGCUACACAGAAAUUGAUGGGCUCUUAUUCAUGCCAAUUUCUUUUUUAUUAAGCAUAAACUUGUAAUUGUUACAAGUUCUCUCCUCAUUCUGAAAACAAUCAUGGGAUUUGACUCAUAUGAAGAAAAGCAAAGUGGAUGCUUAAGAAAUUGUUUGGAUUUUUGGAGGGAAAGGCAGAAUGAGAACACAGCCCAGAGCUUUAAGGCCAGCACCCAGUCCAUUAACUCAGUCUGAUUCAAGCUGGUUUUCCUCUGCAGCUAUUUUUGCCGCCUCCUCUCUACCUUUGUUUCAUUUUAUGAUGUUGCGGGAGGGAUGGAUAUUACUAUGUGAGAUGCAAUGCCCACUAUAUGUUCAUGCAACACCGUGGCAAAACAUAUAAUUUGUAGUAUUUGUGUGUGUGGCCAUGCAACAUAAAGGAGCAAAAAUAAUCCACUGGAAUGCAAUAGUGGUGGGCCAUUUUAUUAUAUCUUGUUCUAUUCUGUAGCCCGAAUCAGCCAUCAACCUUAUUUCUGUUCGUAAAGGGAAAAUUAUCAUGUUCGUUUUACAGGAUUACAAAGAUUUAUUGAGUCUUCCUGUAAAAUUGCACUGUCGAAUUUGUUGUCAAGAAAAUAAAGCUGACUCCAUUGACUGUAGCAGAAUAAUUUGCAGCCAUAAUUGAACUGCGCUCUUAAAGUCUACUUUUAACAAGGUUUUCAGAAAUAGGCUGCAGUAGCUUGACUUUGGUUCUAAGUCUAUUUUGAAUUUUAGCUAAUGUUAGUGUGUUAAUGCAGUAGUAGCAUAUGGAUAUGGAAUAGAAAUGUUGUUUUCAUGAAAACCCAAUUUUAUAUUACUGUGUUGAACCACUCAAUACAUCCGGACUCUUCAUUCAUAUUCUCUGUAAAUUCCUGAUCUUAAGAUAAUUCAAACACCAUUCUCACAGACUCUUUCUUUGAAGCCCACACAGGGCUAAUCCAAACAGGAGGUACAAUAGAAAGCUCCACUGCAUUGUAAGACUGGAGUUUUAUCUACUGACUUCAGCAUUCAGAGAGUGUAAAGCACAUGAGUUCUUUUCUUGUCUAAACUAUUUUGAACGAGGUCUCUUUUACAUGCUAGUUCGGCAAGCUUCUAAGGCAUUUGUGCAAAGUGAUGAUGCAAGAGCAACCUGAUUCAACACUGAGAAAUUCAUAAAUAACAUCCAGCAGUAAUUACAGUGAAAAACUACAGAUAAGAAAAGCAAACACUCCACAGUAUCAGUUGAGCUACUUAUACACUGCAGUGUUAAAAGUGGCAUAU